rnacentral:tRNA from 1 species
UGGGAUGUAGCUCAGUGGCAGAGCACAUGCCUAUCAAGUGCAAUGUCUUGGGUUCAAUUCCCCAUUCCAA